CAAAACAGAGAUUGAUUUUGGUGUGUGUUUUUUUAUAAUUACCUGAAUCCUGUGUUUUAAUUGUUCAUUAUAUCUAAGGAUGGCGCCUUUAAGAAAAGUCUCAGAUCGACAAAUGGACAUUUUGUUGGAGUUCGUUGAAAGACAUAAAGAGCUUGCUGUUGGCCGGUACCCUCCCGGCCCACUAGGCAUACAAUCAGCACGUUGGCUAUGGGACAGUGCAGCAUUACAAUUAUAUGAAUUAUAUUCAAUUGGGUCUGGAGUUACAAAAACUGGUCAAAAAU